GACGAACGCUGGCGGCGUGCCUAAUACAUGCAAGUAGAACGCUGAAGGAGGAGCUUGCUCUUCUGGAUGAGUUGCGAACGGGUGAGUAACGCGUAGGUAACCUGCCUGGUAGCGGGGGAUAACUAUUGGAAACGAUAGCUAAUACCGCAUAACAGUAGAUGUUGCAUGACAUUUGCUUAAAAUGUGCAAUUGCACCACUACCAGAUGGACCUGCGUUGUAUUAGCUAGUUGGUGGGGUAACGGCUCACCAAGGCGACGAUACAUAGCCGACCUGAGAGGGUGAACGGCCACACUGGGACUGAGACACGGCCCAGACUCCUACGGGAGGCAGCAGUAGGGAAUCUUCGGCAAUGGACGGAAGUCUGGCCGAGCAAAGCCGCGGGAGUGAAGAAGGUUUUCGGAUCGUAAAGCUCUGUUGUAAGAGAAGAAAGAGUGUGAGGGUGGAAAGUUCACACUGUGACGGUACCUUAACAGAAAGGGACGGCUAACUACGUG
rnacentral:rRNA from 1 species